UACAGAGGGUGCAAGCGUUGUUCGGAAUCAUUGGGCGUAAAGCGCACGUAGGCGGCCUGCUAAGUCGGAUGUGAAAGCCCAGGGCUCAACCCUGGAAGUGCAUUCGAAACUGGCGGGCUUGAAUGUCGGAGAGGGCAGUGGAAUUCCGAGUGUAGAGGUGAAAUUCGUAGAUAUUCGGAGGAACACCAGUGGCGAAGGCGACUGCCUGGACGAGCAUUGACGCUGAGGUGCGAAAGCGUGGGGAGCAAACAGG
rnacentral:rRNA from 1 species